rnacentral:rRNA from 1 species
UUUUAUGAGAGUUUGAUCCUGGCUCAGGACGAACGCUGGCGGCGUGCCUAAUACAUGCAAGUCGAACGCUUCUUUUUCCACCGGAGCUUGCUCCACCGGAAAAAGAAGAGUGGCGAACGGGUGAGUAACACGUGGGUAACCUGCCCAUCAGAAGGGGAUAACACUUGGAAACAGGUGCUAAUACCGUAUAACAAUCGAAACCGCAUGGUUUUGAUUUGAAAGGCGCUUUCGGGUGUCGCUGAUGGAUGGACCCGCGGUGCAUUAGCUAGUUGGUGAGGUAACGGCUCACCAAGGCCACGAUGCAUAGCCGACCUGAGAGGGUGAUCGGCCACAUUGGGACUGAGACACGGCCCAAACUCCUACGGGAGGCAGCAGUAGGGAAUCUUCGGCAAUGGACGAAAGUCUGACCGAGCAACGCCGCGUGAGUGAAGAAGGUUUUCGGAUCGUAAAACUCUGUUGUUAGAGAAGAACAAGGAUGAGAGUAACUGUUCAUCCCUUGACGGUAUCUAACCAGAAAGCCACGGCUAACUACGUGCCAGCAGCCGCGGUAAUACGUAGGUGGCA